AAUUGAUUAGUUUAUAUAAAACAGUUGUUUUGAAAACAAAAAUAGACCUCGUCCUCAAUUU
rnacentral:tRNA from 1 species